CUCAAAUCUAUGGUAUCUAAAUGUAUCUGUUUGCCAAUUUAUAUACACACCACCAAAACAAAGUAAGUGAAGACUACUUCAGCUAAAACAGGAUAAAUGCAAACAAGAUCCAGAAAAAAAGGAAUAUAUUAAAAUUACAUUUAUUUGAACAUUUAUAACUGGAAAAAAAGAAAAAAAAUACAAAUAUAAACAAUGGUGCUUUUCAAUGUCCUCAUCUAAGUGAUUUUUAGUAGCCACUUGGUCACAGACACUGGCCAAAGUUAGUGUUAAUAUUUGUUUGUGUGCGAAAAAUGCAAAAAACUAAUUUGAACGCCAAUUUUGGCCAGUGUUUGUGACUAAGUGGCUACUAAAAAAGACUGGACAUACCCCAUUUGCAAUACCUUGGGUUGACUACUAUUGCAAAUGUUAUAACAUCAUGGGGGUAAUUUUCUUUCCUGGGCUACCAUACGCUCUCAAAGGCAACAUAACCAAUCUGGUGGAUUUCAAUGUGAAAAAACUGAAACGCAAGCCUUAUAUUUGACUCUAACUUUUGAAAACACCAUAGAACCUGUACAUGAGGGGUACUGUUAUACUCAGGAGACUUCGCUGAACACAAAUAUUAGUGCUUCAAAACAGUAAAACGUUCAAUAUAUGUGGUAUCUGUGUGGCUGUUGAAGUAUGGGUAUUUUUGGAAUCUAAGGGGGUUGCCCUCUUUUCUAUAGUUAUUUCCCACAUGGUUCUUCUUAUACCUCCCCACUCCUUUUUAUAUAUAGAGUGUUCCCAUCUUUAGUAUAGAAGAUGGGCAUAUUUAAUACGGUCUCCCCUCACAAUUUGGGGUUAAAUGGCGACUAAGGUGAGGGGUUGGUAACUGCGAUUAAUAUUGGACAAAAGGGGAAAUCGGGGUAAGAAUUUGGAAGAGGACAACUUGUGGAAACUGAUAAAAGGUAUAGGUUAUAACCCAUACUGGGUCAUUAUAGAAUAUUCAUACACUGUGAUAAGCUGUUUGUUGCCUUUGGUGUUUGUUGUGUUUGUAUUUUUGUAAUAUGUGCCAAAGUAAUAUUAUUGUAAAGAAUUUUCUAUGUAGAUUGAGUUUUAUAUACUUUGUGAUAAAAUUAAUAAAAAGGUUCAAUUUAAAUUUAAAAAAACAGUAAAACGUAUCACAACAAUUAUAUCGUCCGUGUAAGUGCCAUUUGUGUGUGAAAAAUGCAAAUAAUGUCACUUUCACUGACAAUAUCAUGGUUGUAAUACCUUUUACUGUUUUGAAACACUAAUAUUUGUGUUCAGCGAAGUCUUCCGAGUAAAACAGUACCACUCAUGUACAGGGCCGCCCUACCUAGUCUGCUCACAAUGAUGCAGGACUAAAUGUGGUGUGUAUAGUGGAAGUGAAUUAGAAUGUGUGUAAUGGAUGUAGUGUUUGUGUGUAUUAGAUACUGUUUGUGCAGUGAAUGCGGAGUGUGUGUUUGUGUAGCGGAUGCAGUGUGUAUAGUGAACGCAGAGUGUGUUUGAGUAGUGGAUGCAGUGUGUCUACAGUGAUGUUGUGUGUGUUUGUGUAGUGGAUGUAGUGUUUGUGUGUACUAGAUGAAAUGUGUUUAGUGGAUGCAGUGUCUGUAGUGGAUGUAGUGUGUGUAUUAGAUGCAGUGUCUGUGUAUAGUGAAUGCAGAGUGUUUCAAUUUGUGGUGGAUGUAGUGUGUGUACUGUGAAUACAGGAUGUUUGUGUAGUGGAUGCUGUGUGUAUAGUUAAUCCAGAGUGUAUAUUAGUGUAGUAAAUGCAGAGUGUGUGUCAGUAUAGUGAAUGCAGAGUGUGUGCAUAGUUUAGUGAAUGCAGAUUGUGUGUUAGUGUGUAAUGAAUGCAGAUUGUGUGUUAGUGUGUAAUGAAUGCAGAGUGUGUGUAACUGUGUAGUGAAUGCAAAGUGUGUGUUAAUGUGUAGCGAAUGCAGUGUGUGUGUUAGUGUAGUGAAUACAAAGUGUGUUUAUGUGUGGUGAAUGCAGAGUGUGUGCCAGUGUAGUGGAUGCAGUGAGUGUGUUAGUGUGUAGUGAAUGCAGAGUGUGUGUUAAUGUGUAGUGAAUGUAGAGAGUGUGUGUCAGUGUAGUGGAUGCAGUGAGUGUGUUAGUGUGUAGUGAAUGCAGAGUGUGUGUUAAUGUGUAGUGAAUGUAGAGAGUGUGUGUCAGUGUAGUGAAUGCAGAGUGUGUGUUAGUGUGUAGUGGAUGCAGUGAGUGUGUGUCACUGUAGUGAAUGCAAAGAGUGUGUUAAUGUGUAGUGAAUGCAGAGUGUGUGCCAGUGUAGUGGGUGCAGUGAGUGUGUUAGUGUGUAGUGAAUGUAGAGAGUGUGUGUCAGUGUAGUGAAUGCAGAGUGUGUGUUAGUGUAGUGAAUGCAGAGUGUGUGUUAAUGUGUAGUGAAUGCAGAGAGUGUGUCAGUGUACUGAAUGCAGAGAGCGUGUUAGUGUAGUGAAUGCAGAGUGUGUGUCAGUUUAGCGAAUGCAGAGAGUGUGUUAGUGUAGUGAAUGCAGAGUGUGUGUCAGUGUAGCGAAUGCAGAUAGUGUGUAGUGAAUGCAGAGUGUGUGUUAGUAGAGUGUGUGUUAGUGUGUGGUGAAUGCAAAGUGUAUUGCACACGUGCAGUGUUAGUGUAUGCAGUGUGUGUUUUGUGUUAGUGUAUGCAGUGUGUGUGUUGUGUUAGUGUAUGUAGUGUGUGUUGUGUUAGUGUAUGCAGUGUGUGUGUUGUUAGUGUAUGUAGUGUGUGUGUUGUGUUAGUGUAUGCAGUGUGUGUGUGUUGUGUUAGUGUAUGUAGUGUGUGUGUGUGUGUUUUGUUAGUGUAUGCAGUGUGUGUGUGUGUGUUGUGUUAGUGUAUGUAGAAUGCAGAGUGUGUUUUAGUGUGUAGUGAAUGCAGACUGUCAGUGUAAUGAACGUACUGUGUUUGUUAGUGUGUAGUGAAUGCAGAGUGUGUGUAAAUGUGUAGUGAAUGCAGAGUGUGUGUAAAUGUGUAGUGAAUGCAGAGUGUGUGUUAAUGUGUAGCGAAUGCAGAGUGUGUGUUAAUGUGUAGCGAAUGCAGAGUGUGUGUUAGUGUGUAGUGGAUGCAGUGAGUGUGUUAAUGUGUAGCGAAUGCAGAGUGUGUGUUAAUGUGUAGUGAAUGCAGAGUGUGUGUCAGUGUAGUGAAUGCAGAGUGUGUGUCACUGUAGUGAAUGCAGAGAGUGUGUUAAUGUGUAGUGAAUGCAGAGUGUGUGUCAGUGUAGUGAAUGCAGAGAGUGGGUUAAUGUGUAGUGAAUGCAGAGAGUGUGUUAGUGUAUUGAAUGCAGAGUGUGUGUCAGUGUAUCAAAUGCAGAGAGUGUGUUAGUGUGUAGUGAACACAGAGUAUGUGUUAGUGUAGUGCAGGGGUAGGCAACCUACGGCUUUGCACGGCACUCAAGGCUGCUAGAGCCAAACAGGCUCUGGCCUAUCAGGAGUCCCAGUAAAACUUCAGAUAACUGCUAAUCCGAAAAGGUGGUGAAGGACAAUCCUCAAUUUAUGCAUUGCAGCACAUAGAGGAACUGAUUUCAGAUCACUUCCUCCCAGCACUUGUGAAUAGGAAUCCACACUGUAGUAGAGAAGCUCGCAGUUGCUGUUGCAGCUCCUGUCCUUGGCAUGUACCUGGCCAGCCUGGUCCCCACUGGAACCCACCCACACUGCUAGAUAUACACAGAAAUGCAGAAUAACCCUCCCCUCAUACAAAUAAUACGGACAGCCCACACACAAACAUGCACACAAUCCGCACAAACAAAACACCACUAACAAUCCACAUACAUGCACACAACCCCACAUGCAAUACCCCAAACAGCCCCCACACACCACCAAACACACACUUUGACAUAUCCAUCCACACACACACACAAUUCCACAAGCAGCCCCCAUACACAGCCCACAUUCAUAUGUAUCAUACACAAUACCAUAAACUACUCAUGAACAUAUACAAUAUAAUAGCUCAUAUACGCAGGGCCGUCUUUAACUCGGGGCAAACUGGCUAGCUGCUCCGUGAGCCCCUCUGGCCUCAACUAUUUCUGACCCUCUGGCCGGUAAUCCGCACACUAAGGAGGCCCACCGGGUGGCCCAUGCACAAAGGACCACCCGGUGGGCUUCUGUCAGCAGGGGCCCGGUCGCAUGCUGAGGCGCUUUAACAGUGCAAGCGGGCUCCUUGCUUUUCGGCAGCAGGAUGGGAGGAAGUGACGGCCGCGCAUCACUUCCUCCCACAAAGAGAGGAGCGCGCGGGAAAGAAGAGUAGGCAGGUUGGAGGGGGGCUAGACCCCAACUCCCAACACCUUCAGCCACCAGCAGGAAAGGUAGGAAACUGGAGGGUGGGUUUUAAAGUGUAUGUCUGUGUCAGCAUGUCUGUCAGUGUGUGUGUGUCAUCUGUCUGUGUCAGUAUUUCUUUGUGUCAGUAUAUCUGUGUGUGUGUGUGUGUGUGUCAGCAUGUCUGUGUGUCAGUAUAUCUGUGUGUGUGUCAGUAUGUUUGUAUGUCAGUAUAUCUGUGUGUGUGUGCGCGCAUUUCAGUGUGUGUAUAUAUAUAUAUCUGUGUGUGUGUGUGUGUAUAUGUGCAUACAUCUCAGCAUUCACACACUAACACUACACACAAAUACACCCCUGCAUUCAAAUUUUAACACUACGUACAAACACAUGUCUGUGUUACACACCAAAAUUAUAUGUAAAUACACCCCGGCAUUCAAAAACCAACACCUUACAAAUACAUGCUUGCAAUCACGCCAACACCACAUAAAAACAUAUUCCAUACAAAAACCUGUUUACAUUCAAACACACAAAAACUGCUUAGUGUUAAAUACAGACCUGCAAACAUGGGUAAAUGGUAGAGCCCGGGCUGUCAAUGCAUUUCUGGAGUUGCACGACAGGUGGGGAUCUACCUUUUAAUCACCCGUGCAACAGGGAGACCCCCAAAAAUUCUUGCACCUCUCUACUUUAGGUCCGCCACUGCGUUGAGGUGGAGGACGUGAUUGCAUGCCUGGGCAGAGGGGACAGGGUCCAGGUCGCCCCAAGCAAAUGCUUUGCCCAGGGUUCAGUCACUUUUAAAGAUGGCCCUGCAUAUAGGCAAAAAUACAACGAUACAAAGCAAUUACAGUAAAAAUAACACAAGCAGAAUACGGCAGCAUACACCCCUCGAUUUAAAAAAAAAAAUAGGACCGGUACGCUAUGGGACAUCUCAAUCCUAUAUCGGCACAGUGCUGCUAAAAGGUUGCCUACCCCUGGUGUAGUGAAUGCAGAGUGUAUUGUACAAGUGUAUGCAGUGUGUGAGUUGUGUUAGUGUAUGCAGUGUGUGUUGUGUUAGUGUAUGCCGUGUGUGUGUUGUGAUAGUGUGUGUGCGUUGUGUUAGUGUAUGCAGUGUGUGUGUAAAUGUGCAAUCUGGGGAGGGAGGGGGAGGAGCAUUUUCACAGUAACUUUCUAUUAAAUUCAAUUAAAUGUUUCUCCCCCCUCCCUGCUUCUUACCUGUGUCCAGGGAGGGGGGAGAUUUAUUCCCUGGUGGUCCGGUGGCAUGGGGGGCCCUCCCGACUCCCUGUUCUAAUAACUCUUGCGAGACCCCCGGCCUGUGUGCCGCGCGGAGAGUUGCCAUGGCAACGCUCAGAAAGCCGUGGGUCUCGCGAGAGUUAUUAGAAGAGAGAAGAGAGGAGAACAGGCAGUGUGCUGGGCCUCUCUCUGCGGUAACAGGGAGCCGGUUGGCCUGAGUUGUCAGGCAAGUCCCGCAAAUUGUAAUUAAGAAAAUUACCUAAUUAUGUAAAAUUAUUACAUAAUUA